CUGGUGCUCUUACUAGGAUAUUCAUUGCUACCUAUGAGGUCAGAGUCCAGGGUCAGUCCAUGUAUAGUCUUUAGGUAGUGGCUUAGUCCCUGGAAGCUCUGGUUGCUUGGCAUUGUUGUACAUAUGGGGUCUUGAGCCCCUUCAAGCUCUUCCAGUUCUUUCUCUGAUUCCUUCAACGGGGGUCCUAUUCUCAGUUCAGUGGUUUGCUGCUGGCAUUUGCCUCUGUAUUUGCUGUAUUCUGGCUGUGUCUCUCAGGAGCGAUCUACAUCCGGCUCCUGUCGGUCUGCACUUCUUUGCUUCAUCCAUCUUGUCUAAUUGGGUGGCUGUAUAUGUAUGGGCCACAUGUGGGGCAGGCUCUGAAUGGGAGUUCCUUCAGUCUCUGUUUUAAUCUUUGCCUCUCUCUUCCCUGUUAGGCAGGAUCUUGAGAUGCAGUUAAGGUUAGCCUUGAACUCCAGAUACUCGUAGCGCGGUGUUCACAAGGCUGGGAUUUCAGGCAUCCUAGCGGCUUACAUUUCCUCACAGUGAGUGUAAGGAGACUGGAGUUGAGCCACAGGGUCCCUUGGGGAAGAUGCGUGUGUUCCAGUUCGCCAUAGUCUCUGCUCUUCUCUAACUGGAUCAGGCAGGAGUCUUACCUGGAGACACGUUAACCCUCCCUUCACCACACCCACCAGGAGCUUCAGUGAGAAUUGCCUGAGAGUUUCUAGCAAGUUUUAGGUGGUGCUAUGGCUUCUGGAGGUCCAGGGACCCAUGUGAAGAAUCACCUGGCCAUUUGAGGCUGUAGAGCGUUGGCCAUCAUGCUGGGCCCGUUGUGUUUAUGGGGAGUCGGGAAAUAGUUCUUGGUACCUGUUACUCUAGUGAAAGUAACCAAAUUAAAAAGGAUAGAAAAAUGGGGAUAUGGCUGAGUGGUAGAACACCUGACUAGCAUGCACAAGGUCUCAGGUUCAAACCUAGGCUUUAUGAAUGUGUCCCCGCCCCCACUAAGUCAGUAAAAAAUAUAUACUCCAGAAAAUGGAAAAGAGCAUAUUUCUUGGGAAAUAGUAUUCCCCCCAUGGUGUUUAUAUAUGCGUAAUUUGCAUAUAUGUCAAAUAAACAGUCAAGAUGCUUCAGUGCGCUGGCCCAGAACACAGGGAUGAGUGUGCCAUGCAGCUGCUACUGCUCUGGGUUUUUACAAAGCAUGCUUCCCUCAUUUACUCUGUCUGCAUGAACUGUCAGGUAUUUGAGGACCUGACCCCUGCAGGCUAUAGCCAGGGCACUGUUUGAACAACAGUGAUUUGAGGGAGGUGAGCCCCCCAGAUCCCAUCUCCAUCCCCCUGAGGCUCCCAGACCAUUGGGACACAUGACCAAGGGAAGAACUGAAAUGUACCAGAAGGAACUAGAACUGCAGUAACACCGAGGGGCUGACAGGGACGCACAUGGACUGCCUUAAAUCCGAAUGGCCAGGGAAGCUUCUCUGAGGUCCUCAUCCCAUGAGUGUUGAGAAGCAAAGGGGAUUCCCCGCCAACCUAAUGAUGGAGGUAGAUGAAAAGUCAGAGGGCCUGGCCUCCAUUCUAGGUUCCAGUGUUCCUUCCCUGGCAUUGCUAAUCACAGUUCAAACCUUCCAGUACCAGCCACCACACUCAGAUAGCAACCUUGGCCUGAGACCCACCAUUCUCCUUUGGUCACUGCUACCCCUAGUCUCCAGCUCAGGACCCUAUGUUGGUAUUCAGUUCUUCAUGAAAUCCCAUCAUGUGUUCAGGGGCCAUGGGCUGGAGAAUUACUAUAUUUUUCUAGAACUCAGAGCCUCCAGGACCUUUUGGUCCUACUCAUGUAGAGAUGAGGAAACUCAAUCUAGUACUUUCCAUGGCCCAAACUUACCAGUCUGCUUUACAACAUGAGUCAAAAGGUAAGAAUUUUGUCCUUGUCACAGAGAACAACCACAGAUGAGCACAAAGCAGGGAAAGGGACAGGGACUUCUGUUUGCAUCUUCCCAGGUGCCUGAAGCCAUUUGCCUGGCUAUUGUGAACCAGUGAUAAAGGUUUCCACUAUUAUGUCCACAGCAGAUAUUACUAACCAAUCAUGGCCCAGGGCUCUAGCUUAGUGGUAGAAUGGCUUGUCUAUCAUGCACAAGCAUUUGUGUUCCAUCUUCUCCAGAAGUACACACACACACACACACACACACACACACACACACACACACACACACACAGACACCCCCAAAUGGACAAAUCCACUACACAAUCAUUACAUUUUCCCACAGAGAUUGCAUGUAGCAUCAAAAGCCUCUCAAAGAGGGAGGGGGAUACUGAUGAGUCUGGGUUAGGAAGAAGUCAGAUAUUACGUGAAUACCAUCUAAACAUUUGAGUACAUGAGGAACGUAUAGACUUAGGUGGGAUUUGACCAGGGCUAUUGGAGCUGGAAGCUGAUGAGAGGAGAGCUUGGGGGAGUGGCAGGUUGUAGGCAGGGCAUUCUUCUGAAGAAGGAUUCAUAGACCAGGAAGCAUCAGUGAGGAGUCACAAGGCAUAGGGGCCUGAGGGACUGAGUCUCCUGGUGGGCUGAGCCCUCUCUCCUCUUACCUUCCUACAGAUGCAAAGUCAUUCUCUCUCUCCAAAAGCUGGAACGCUCCUACCCCUAGUGACAAGCAAAGGCAGGGGGCACUUUGCAAGAUCCCCUCCUGUGAGUCAAAGAACCUUUUUUGGAAAUUAACAGUGGGUGUCAUAUUCUCAGAACAGUGGUGCAUCUGACAGAGGAGUUGUGGUUCCUUGGAGAAAGUAUAGGGAUACUGAUGGCUGUAGAUGAUCUGGAUGGGGCCAGAGCCCUCAUGGAAUUGCCUAGACAUCGGUAGCCUACUCUCCACAGAGGUCUGGGUUGUGGGCAGAGACUAAGUCUGGGGCUUUGGAGUACUAGAGUGAAAAAUCAGCAGAAUGGAGGAACAUCACCACCUCCAUUGCUGACCCCAACAUUCCUGUUGGCUGUCUCUCUUCUUCUGGUCAGCUUCCCAGCUUUGGGUUGGGCUUGGGGAAGGAGCAAUCGCAGAUCAUAAGCUGGGUAGGGCACUUGCAUCCACCAGGAGGCCUCACAGUAUCUGUAGGCUCAGUGCUCCAUCCUUACUUGGCCUUUGACAGAAUGGAUGUUGAUGAACUCAGUCAACAAGGCUUCUCUUUCUGAAAGGUCUACUGCUUUUAUAUUUUCUGUGUGUCUACUCCAUUGUAAGCUUCCUGAAGGCAGGGAGAGGCUGAAGUCUCUCAGCUGGAGGCCAAGAGUAGCAGCACCCCUUGUAUACAGAGGGGUCAUACUAACCCAGGGAGGAUCACAUCUCUUCCCUGCCUCUCCUGAACUCUGCUGAGAUCUGGUUGGGACAUGGUGGACCUUGGGAAGAUCUGGGCCUGGGCCUCAGUGACCCUGAGGAAAUUUAAAGUACUCCAGCUGUUGGACACUGCUAACCAGUCCGCAGAUGCCGUAGCCUCAUUCUACUCCGAGCCUAUUCCCCAGACUUGCAGUCUCCAUCCAUUUGCCACAGAAGUCUGGCUCUCCAUUGUUCUCCCUCUCCCGGUGGCUCUGGGGAAGAUCUUGUCAGAGCCACAUGGGGGCCUCUCAAGCUGUUGGUGAAAGAAGAGUCUUGGCUACUAUGGGGACCCCCUUUUAUUCAUACAUGCACAUACUGCAAGGCAAACAGACUCAGCCUUUUCAUUGCUGGUUGCUUCUUACCUUCAGGGCUCAUUAGAGAUGUCCAUGUGUGAUACAGGGUCAGAGCAAGCUGCCCAGCUAGAUGGGCCUCACUUUCUUCUGGUUGACUCAGUCACUCAGGAGCGCUCGCCCCCACGUUCUAAGGUUCCUGUGAGAGUUGUGGGUGCCUGCUUCCACCUGCCCAGAUAUCUCUCAGCCCUCAGCAUUAAUCCCUUUCUCUUUAUCUGCACAGCUUCUGUUCACCCCUCAGGAGAUCCUGCUCGGUGUUGCCUCCUUCAGGCAGUCUUCCCUUGUUAGCAGUGCCAGGCAUUUGUCUCAGCAAGGAAACCAAGACUAGCCUAGCCACCGAUCUCCUCUCUUGGUUCCAAGCACCACUUGUUCGCCAAGGUCAGAGACCUACAUUUUGGCAAGGAGAUGGAUCAGCAGACUUUCAUCAUCUCUGGCCUUGUGUCACUAUCAUUUGAAGGUGGUUCAGGUAAGGGCUGCCUCCCUGAACCUCCCCCGUCUUCUCUGGAGAUUACUACAAAGAAUUAGCUUGCUCAGUAAAAGCUCUAAGAAGCCCAUAGCAGCUUUUGCUUCUCCCAGUGUGCCAGGUACACUGCACAGUGGAUGUCCUUUCUUGUCCCUUCAUAGCUCUUGUUGACAACCCUAUACCACUUUUAUAGUUACCCGUGAGCAAUGUGGCCCACUGGACAGAGGUGUCCCCAGCCCCAGAGCUUUGGAACAUGGUGAAACCUGGUGAGGAGGAGUCUGGGAUCUAAAUCCCCUGCAGAUACACAAACCUAUACUGGUUGUUAUUAUGCAUACACAUAGGAUGGGAGCUUUGGUGGAGAGCUAUCUCAGCCAUUUAAAUGGCAGCGGACUUCAUUUCUCUGAGUUUGGCUUACACAGAGGAUCAAGUAGAGCCGGGCAAAGUUGCUUAUCCCAGUCUUGUCAGUGAGACUCAGAAAUACAAAGUGGAGUUGGCGAUGCAGCCCAUUUGUUGGAGUGCUUGCCUAGCUUGCGAAAGGCCCCAGCACCACACAAACAUGGUGGUGCAUGCUGUGCUACUUAAAACCUCUGUGUCAAAAUCAAUCCACCAACCAAAUAAGCCAACCGAAAUGGAGACAAUCAUCAUGGCUAUAAGGAGGAGGCCAGUGGAAGGACCACACAGUGGAAGGCCCAUGGCCUCUCUAGACCUCAGUAGUCACAAAGAAUGGGAAGGGUGCAUGCACACUGAGGGAGGGCUCCCCAAGUAUGUGCUGGGCCGGCAAAGUAAGGUACAGAGCAUGGGACUUAAGGCCCAGCACAUGUUAGGCAAGAGCUCUACCUCUGAGAUACACCCUAGCUAGGCCUUUUAAAAAUUACUAUUUUGAGACAGGGUCCUAACGAGUAGCCCAGGUUGGCCUUAAACUCACUCUGUUGGUCAUGCAGGUCUUGAACUUGUGAUACUCCUGUCUCAGCCUCUCUAGGGAUUACAGACAGGCACCACCAAAGUGAUUAUGACAGUUAAACGAAGGGGCAGGAGAAGCCUGUUUGAUUAUAUGUAUCAUAUGCAAACAUGUACACACAUACUAGACAUACAUGGGAUAUCAUGGAAUCAGUGGGAAGAGAGGAAGUUGUAUGUACAGAAUCUCUGAAUUCCAUGCCUAUCCCUCACUGAUUUGUAACUCAGGGGAAACAAUCUGACCCAUGUAUUCUUCAGUCUGUUCAUCCAGAAAAUAUGGUAAUUAUAUUUCAAUCUCUAGAAAUUAUGGAGGGAAGUCAGCAAUGAAUUAAGUCACAUAAGCAAGGCUUCCGGGUGGUUGACUGGCUCCUGGCUGGGGCAGAAUAAGUGAACUGUUACUUUACCUUUUACUUUUUAUUUUUUUUUAACCAUGGUGCAUCACUUCUGGUCCACACAUCUCCACACCUCAGUCCAGUGAUGGGAGCGUGGCUUUCCAUCCAGCCCUUUGUGAUGGGUGUAGUGGUUUAAUGAGAAAUGCUUUUUCUGUCCUGGUAGCAUGAACCCUAGUGGCCUGACUUAAAAGGGAAGACCCUGAGGUACAAUCAACUGGAUUGUUAUCUAUGGUGGUACUUCCUGGGGCUCCCUGCUCUGGACUGAAGCCUGACAAGCAGUUAUAGGAUCCCCACAGCCAGUUGGCCCCCUUGGCUUCCCCAGGGAGAGGGUGCUUGGGAAGGGUCAAUGGGCCUGCAGCCCAUCGGGAGGUCUGUCGUUUUAUAAGCAGCAAGUACCCAUGUUUACUCAUGCUUUUGCUUAGUGUUGUUGGGCUGCAGGCGGCAGACACUAACACUGGUUAACUUCAGCAAAAAGGAAUUUAUUGGCAGGAUGUCGAGAGCUUGGAGAAGUGACAGGAACCUAGAGAAGCAGACUCUGGGAGGGCAGGAGCCUGGGCCUUUCUGAUCACCCACCUCAGAAUCUGUGGCCACCGCAAACAGAAAGAAACAUCUGGUCUGCAUGCUGCCGAGGUUGAGAUGGUGACCUCCAGCUGAGCCUCUGGGUUCAGUGGCUCUUUUUCUUCAUUCUUCUUGCUUGUCUGUCAACUGAGGAUCCCUCUUUUCCAGGCUUGUUGAAUUCUCUGCCUUAAAGUCUUGCAGGCAAGUGUUGAAGUCGUGUUCUUUCCACUGUGGACAGAACCGAAGAUCCCAGCAUCCUUUGUGGGACUCUGUAACACAAGGUUUGUACAUCCUUUGAGGAAGGGUGCAGACAUAUACAUAUACUUGGGUCAGUUACAUGUCACCUGGGGAAAUGAGUAGCAGCCAGUGUCAUAUAACACUGUAAGUACUUCUGUGUAGAUAGCAGGGCACUAGGGCAGCUGCUGCAGCAGCGACCGGUUGGAAGAAGAUCCAUGUCGUCCCCAGUGUGGGAAGCAAGGUGACAUCCUGCAUGGCCACACAGAUUGGUGUCCUGACGACUACUGGGCUACGAUCCCAGCUGUGGCCUGGCUGCCUUGCUGCUUCCCAUCUGCUGAUCUCCCCACCAGAUCUGUGAUCUUUCUCACCUGCUGUGAAAUAAAUCCCCACCUGCUUCAAACUGACCAAGCCCGAACCUAGAAGCUUGGCUGACACUCUGAAUGACUCUCAGCAGAUUUGUGUUCCCAGAAGAGAGGUUGAGGCACGUUCCUGCUCCCCACGGGAUCCAGGAGACUGGAGUUGGCCCUUUGGCUUUCGUUAUGGGAGGUAGAAGACUAGAAUUCCCCUCCACCAAGACCACACACAGUGGGGAAGAGGCAAAUUCCAGAAGGAACACAGGCUACUGUUAAAUGAGGAGUGUGGGAGCGCAGUUAGCAAAACAGGACACAUGUGCACUAACCAAUCUCUCUUCAUUCAUCCAAGUAAAUAGAGUGUGCACUCUAUGCUGAGGAAAGGGGUCUCUCCCUUCUUUCAUGUACACCACACUCACACUGCAAGCCGGAUGCAUGCAGAUACUGCAAAACCUUUGGGAUACAGCACUGGCUGCCCUCCAGACACCCAGCUAAGUAAAGGGACCAAGGACUGUUCCAGAGAAAAGGUGAGUUGGGCCUUGGAGGAGGACUGCAGGGCGGGGCAAAGAGAAAAGUGGGCAGAGCCACAAAAGCUUAGAAUGGCCUCAGCAUCAUACAGGGCCACAUACACAGGCUCAGACUAGAAGUAGGGGUACAGUGGGAUUGUGUCUGUGGAAAGAUGAAAGUUUGGGGAGAGCCUGAGGGUCGGGCUGGGGUUUGGAAGUACGAUAUUGAGUGUCACAUAAAACGGGUCAGCAGACGUGUUCUUUCGGGAGACACUUGUUGGUAGGCCAGUCUCUGAGAAAGUCCUAUGGAUGGUGAACAGCAUGGCAGCGGCUGGAGUGAAGGUACAAAGGAAGAGGGAGGAAGCUGGGGCUGCAGACUGGGUGUCUUGCCGAUGGCCUCGUGGAACCCCAACUAAGGAUCUGCUGGAAGAAGCACUUAGGGCCAAUACUGAGGUCUUUGGUGUUGAGGAGCUGGGUCCCCCAGCAGUCAAGCCCUGCUGCCACUCCCAGCUCUGCCUGGCUUGCUAGCUGGCUGGUUUGUCUUUUGUUUUUUUUGCUUUCAGCUGUGGUGACUUCCAACGGUGCUCUAGAAUCUCCUGGACUUCCCCAGAAGAAUCUGCCUUACAUGUAAACGUUCUGCUUCAGAUGUUUGCCAUGCAAGAGAUCCUGCCAUUAAAGUCCAUGCCAAAAACAAACAAACAAACAAACACACACACACCACAAAAACCAAACCUCAAUGAGUGCGCUUUCUGAGUUCCCAUGGGGCUCUUACUACCCUGGGUGACUAAAUGGCCUGGUUUGCCACACACGAGUUCUAUUUUAUCAGUUCCAUGUUAAGAUGACCACACCCAGAUAAGCUAGAAGGUCGGUACCCUCAAUUUUUAACAUUUUGCUCUUAAGACAGGCUACCGUCUGGAGAGGUCAUGGGGGUGGGCUGAACAUUGGGCAGGGCUGGUGGUCUCUGUUGUGGUCGGCUUGGGCCUCCUGAAGGAGAUAGGCCAGAGACCCACUAAGGCAACUGAGAAAGGGUCAUGAGGAGUCAGAGUCUGUGGAGCAUAAGAGAUUAGUUCAUGUUGUCUGGAUUGCUGGGACUGCCUCCCUGGGACUAGAACCACUGGUCUGUGUCAGGGUCAUUCUGGAUUAUAGUCUGGAGAAUCCUAACACUGUCUGCCUAACCCCACAGCAGCUCAUCCUUACUGACAGGCACAAGGCCAGAGGUGUUCAAGGAUAAGACAGGGGCUCCACAGAGCUUGUGGGGUCCAGGCUUCUUCACCCUGUGCCCCUUCAUCCCUCCUCUCAUGUGGAACUCUGGCUCUAGGUGCAGCUUCCCUCCUGGAGGUCAAGAAUGACACAAGAAAGGAGCAGCGUCAAGGAGGAGGAGGUGUAAGGCAACGUGUACAGCCAUUCUCAUAGACGCUAGCUGCUUCCACUGGUCAGGGAUGCUACAGUGCUUUCUCUUGAAAAGAGGCUGGGAAAUGGUGUGUUUCAGCUGGCUGGAACCAAAUCGAGAGAGAGAGAGAGAGAGAGAGAGAGAGAGAGAGAGAGAGAGGUGAAGAAGGGCUCUUGUUUGGAUAAUUAGAGGAGUCCUCAGGAGGUUCUUAGAGGCUUCUAAAUACACUGGCCAUCCAAUCUCCCUAUCACUCAAGCUUAUGUCUCAUAGUCCCCUGGGUCCCAAGCGCCAUAGACGCCAGACUUGGCAUGAUCCACACUGCUGGGGUGCCACCAAUAGGAUGCCGGAAACCCCAUUUUUCUUUUCUCUUCCCAACAAAGCCAGAUGGCAGGCAGUGUGACUCCAUCUCCGCCAAAGUCCAGGGGAUGUUGUCCCCUCCCUGCCUGGAAGGCUGUACCCCUCCUCCUGAUGCACUUCCUGUGGCCCACAGCCCAGCCUCUCUGCAAGUGAGAUCCUCCCUUCCCCCUCCUGCGCGAGCCUAGAGCGAGUCAGCCCAUCUGGUUCUAUUUCACUUCGUGUUACUCAUCAGGAUGUGUUUGCCAGGAGUUAUUUGAUGUUCAGGAAGAAUUCUGAAGCUUUUGAAAAGAGGUAAAUAAAAUCCUUUAUCCCCCAAAGAGUCAUGAAAUUGUGUUUUGCUCAGGAGGUGGCAGGCAGCCAUGUGAGGUCUGGAGGCCCCUGCCUAGCCAGGCACAGGGGCUGGAGUUUCACGAUCUGUUCUUCUGUCAGUCAGUCCGAAUCUCCACUCCUCCAAGUCCUUCCUGAUGCUCUCUUGGGAUGCCCGAAUUUGGGAACAGAUGAGGGCUGCCUGUGGGGACAGCCCAGCCUGUCUCCUGCUCUUCAGCCAAGAAAGCUUUUAGGGAGCACUCCUUCUGGUCCUCAGCCCUGUCAUUCCACAGCCAUGCAUACGAGCUCCAGGGGGAGGAACCAGAGUUCUCUGCCACAGAACAACCUGGGUUGGGGGAGCUCACCCCAUCUGCUAGGGUCUGGAGAUCACAAAGCAAGGAAGCUGACACCUCCUCCAAGCUCCUGUGAAUUGCAACAGACAUCAUGGAUGUUAAGAUACCCAGAAGGAGAGGCUUUGCCUGCAGGACUGUCUUACAGAGAAGGUUCCACCCUUCUAGCAUCAACCUCUACCUCGAGUCCACACAGCCUUCCUAUUAUUGCCCAGAGAUGGUUCAGUGCAAUGUCAAAGUUUUCCUGGCAAGAACUAGAUCCUCAGGUCUCGUUAAUGCAAAGUGGACCCCACUCUACCUUGUGGGUGCCCAUAACCAACCUGUUGAGAAGAGACCAACAUUUGUGUGACUGGUUGCUCCUUGGGCAGAGUCUGAGUGUUUACUCCCCCAACCCCCCCAAACAUCCCUAUUCUAUGCAAUGCCUCCCACAUAAGCAUCCAGGCAGAGGAGUGUGGGCUUACCUCUGUACCCCUUGAUCUGUCCAUUCUAUUACAGGGAUGCCAGAGGGCUCCUCCACAGCCUAGAGUGGUGUCAUCUCAAAUCCUGCAGUAUGCAAGGCUUCCCACCCACUGCAUCCCCCGUGACAGCUUACAACCCUGACUAUCAAACAUUGAUCACUUAAAUUUAACAUCCCGUCUUCCCUUUGAUAUCUUCAACUGCUCUCUGCAUAAGACAACAAGCCGCUUUCUGCAGCUCCGUAUGAGGGAGAGUUCAAAGACUUCCUUCCCCAGUCCCUCAGCACUGCACUCUGGGAUUCUGCCAGAGAGACUGUCAGGAGGAAGGUUUAAGGCAUCCUCUACUGAUAGCGUCUUUAGGACUCAGACCUGUGGGGAAACCUCCAUGCUUUAAGUCCUGGAUUCUGGGGUGAUCUGCGCAUAACUGGGCAGUCAAUGGCAUGUUAAUGUUUUUCUAGAAGCAUCUGUGGGUCAUCAUGGGGAAAGAUGUAAAUUCAGAGGCAGAGGCAUCAGGCUUAUAUCCUUGAGGAGCCGGGCCUGCAUCCCUGAUCUGCCCUUGACCAACUCUGGGUCCUCAGGAAAGUUCUGGAUCUUUUAAAUGGAUACGAUCAUUCUUAGCUCUCAGCAAAGUGCUUGAAUGGGCAGUGUGGCUACCCGGCUCACCAUUCCUGGACAGGAAGCGUCAGUGGCCGAGUAUGACAGGAAGCGCUGAACUCCUGAGAGCUGGGUACUUGAUAGUCACAGCUGGCAGCCUGAUCACCAGUCAUUCUGAUCCUCCCCCUCACACAAUCCGCAGUGGGCUUGUACUUUAUUACACCUGUGUUAAUUAGCGUAGCUACCAUCUAUGAAACACACCCCAUGGGUCAAGGCCAGAGCAAAGUGAUUGACCGAUGUCACUUCACAUCAGCCCUGCGAGUACCUCAAAGGUAGCCUUUCUCCUGGGACCUGUUUCUGCCUGAGUGUCUUCCUGGGUAACAGAAUCUACCUCAUGUUAAUGGCCACAUGGGGCUCGAAGCCAGGUCAGUGGGGCCGAAGUUCCGGCUUUUGCCUCAGUCUUCAAGCUGUAGUGACAUACUCUAAAAGGCACGUGGUGCUGUGUCUCAGUGCCUUGGGGUCUGCAGUGGAGGAUGUCCUGGUACGGAGAGAUGAACGUGGGACAGAGUGAAAAAGACCUUCUGUUCAGUUUCACACACUGUGUUUUGAGUAGCCACCUACAUAGUAUAACACCAGUUACAACGUCAUGGUCCCAGGUUCCUCAUGGCCCCAGACUUAAAGAAUAGAUCAUGAUGUUCCUGAUCUCUAGAGCCCUGUGGCCUAAGCCUCUGACUUGCUGGGGUUGCUAAGAAAUGGACUCCCCUUGUGGGGAGUCCCCCCCCCCAGGCAAUGCCACUUGUGACUGAAUGAUCUCUGAGUUUGGGGAGAGCGCUAGAAUCUCCACUCUAUUCUUGGCACAUCCUAAGUGUGCACCCCAGAAACUUGGCUCACAGUCUCCACUGCCACCCACUGGGGUCACACAGACUGCAUCUGCCCCUUUGUCAGAGGUUUUGGAAGAGUGUUUUUGCUUGGGGUUCCUUUCUUCAGGUCACAAAGGUCAAAGCUUCCUGUGACGUAAUGACGUAAAUCUCUGCAGCCUGUGACUUUGCAGGAAAGAGUGGGAAAUGGAGACUGGGAAGAAAGGAAGGUGAUGUCAUGUACCUGUGGGGGAGCUGCUGGGGUUAAACAAAGGCAUAGUCCCUGGCUGCUGGAGUGGGGCUGUCGGGGGAUGGAUGAAUGGCAAGGGAGAUAAUGAUCUCAGUCCUCUUCCAGACUCCCUUCCUCCUGGUUAGAACUCCUUCCCAUCCCCCUAUGGAGAACUCAUCAUGGCAAAGCCCUUGAAGGGUGGGCCCCACCUUGACCAGAAGCUCUCCCUGUGCUAUGGGGAGUUGUUUAUUCCCUAAAUUUUAGAGUUGAGCUCUCAGUAUGUAGCACAUUGAUGUCUAAACUGUUGCGUGCCCUUACUGAGGGAGACAGACACUUUUCUUUGAGAAGAGCUCUCAAUGUUCCAGCCUUGCUGGCUAGGUGAGGCAAAGUCAGAGGAGCAACCCUCUAGCGACACUGCUCUUUGUGGGAUAUCUGAAAUCCCGCAUAUAAAAACACCCCAACCCCAUCUGUCAUUUUUGUAGGUUUUCUUUGCUUUCUGUACAAUAAGAAAGGGCAACAGAUGAGGUAGACGGUGGACUGGGUUUGGGGUCUGAAUCGGGACUUACAUCAUCUUCUCUGUGAUUUGGGGCAAUUUAAUUACCAUCUCCAAAAGUCAAUCCUUUGCUUGGGAAACAAGGUCAAUGACGCAUGACUCACGGAGUGUCUGGAAAGACCAAAUGCAAAGGCAUUGGCAAACUGACAAACACUGGUAUACAGAGGGUGCUCAAUAAGUAUUAACAGAUGAGAUAACAGCUUCCUGAUGUGGAGGAGACAAGGUGUCUUGAUACCCCCUUAUGAAUAAUCGCAAUCAGCGCUUGGGGCUGGGAGCUGGGGGUAUGGAUUGGGUUUUCUUGAGGGGCAGCGGGUGAGCGAGAUGGAGAGGCUGACCCACUGGCGGUCGGUGCACAUUAGCGUUGCUUUGGAGAGUCUGCACAGAGCAUCAAGGAGUGUGGGUAACCUGCUCUCAACUCCUUGUGGAGUGUAGUCCUCAGAGAGCCAACAGCAGGUUCAGCUCUGAGCCUGACCCUGGGAGACAUAACAAACUAACCCAUUAUCCCCCAUUAUCUUUUCCGAGCAGCUUCAUUUGUCAAACCACGCUGCUGUUGGGAGAGGCGUGAUGGAGGACCCCAGCAUGCAUUUGUGCUGCGGUGCCUGAGCCCGGAUCUGCGCUGGAGUGAGAAAAAGGCUAGCGAUGCCUACAGACUGUGGCUCGCUCCAUAAUGGAGGCUUUGCACAUCUCUUUGAAUGCUAACUGCCUGGGAAUUAGAUAGCUGUUGUUGUUGUUGUUGUUGUUGCUGCUGCUGCUGCUGCUGCUGCUGCUGCUGCUGCUGUUUUUCCAGUCAGCCACAAAAGGAGUGACAAAGAAAAGGAAAGACCUGGCCUGAGGUCACAUCCUGUGAGAUGAGGACUGAAACCUGAAUGUGGCUCCAGAACUGUGUAACCUCCAUGUGGCGUUGUCCCCAUAGCAAAGCCCACUACUGCCAUUUUUUUACCCAACCCCCACCCCAGUCUUUAGGAGUUCUUCCUGUUUGCUCCCUGCAGUGUGUCACCUCCAUGGCCAUCUCUGGUCUUUCCAUGGAAUUGGAUAAUAAAAUAGGCUAGACAGUGCAACAGCAAUUGACCUGCAAACUUUCACGUACUUCACCUCUGAGCACACCCCAUUGGCUGAACCAAGCCGUCUUUGAAAUGACUAAAUUCAAAGUGGGUUGAAAUAUUCACAUUCUACAAGCUUCAAGGAAGAGAAGAACCGGACUAUUCAUUAAUCACCAGGAUACUUAACUCCCCAAACCAAAACCAAUCAACCAACCAACCCCGGAAAAACUGCUGAAGUUUGGACAUGGAGCUAUUCCUCCAAAUCUCAAGUGCAAAGUGGCCCAUGAUACAACGUUCAGAGGUGGGAAAGGGCAGGACAGGUUUCCAAGGGCUCUGGACUCAUUCGAGGACAGCUCUGUUGAUGGAUGACUGAACACUCUCUUUCUUAAAGGGGAUAGAAACAGGGAGAUGAAUCUUGAAUGGAAAAAUGGGUCAAGAGAGUCAUGCCUUUGAAAGGCAGAGCUGCCCUGGCUUCUUCUCUCAAACUUGAGCUGCCUCCAGUCCUCUGUGAGGGAUGCCACUCUGUUACCACACGCUCCCAGUCCUGAUGUUCUGUCUAACUACACAUGGACCCAGAAGCACUGGGACCAACUGGUGAUGGGCAAAGACCAAUGAAACCUCCUUCUCUCAAAGGUCACCAAAUUCUUACCUCUACCCUUACUCACAAGGGGGCACUGGUAAGUUUUAGGGGAGUCUUAAAGAUGAUUAAGCAUUUGUGUCUGUGGGUACAACCUGGAAUCCUGACUCCUUGGGAGGUAAAAAUAGGGGAACCCAAGUUUAAGUCCAACCUAGUAGCUUAGGAAGACUCUGUCUUUAAACACUGAACCAAAGAAAACAUGGCUGGGGUUAUGACUCAUUCAUUGGUAAGAGUGCUUGUCUACAAUGGGUAAAGAUCUGGAUUCAAUUACCAGUGUGCAUAUGCACCAAUGUGUGUACGUGGGUGCACGCACACACACACACACACACACACACACAAACACACACUCAUACACUUAAACACACAUUCAUAAUACAACAGACAGACAGAGACAAACAGGGACAGAGACAGAAACACACAGAGACAGAAAAAACAAGAUAUAUUAACCCCUAGGUAGAAUUUUUCUAUUUGAUUCAUAACAUCUAAGACACAUUUAUUGAGAGUCUGUUCUAGGCACAGCCAUAAGACAUGGGAACAGAUUAGACAAAAGUCCCCACCCUUAUGAAGCUGCUAUUUUUUUUCUUUCUUUCUUUCUUUUUUUUUUUUUUCCGGAGCUGGAGACCGAACCCAGGGCCUUGCGCUUGCUACCACUCUACCACUGAGCUAAAUCUCCAACCCCUGAAGCUGCUUAUUUUUUAAAAGAUCUAUUUAUUAUAUACACAAUGUUUGUUCUGCAUAUAUAUCUGCAUGUCAGAAGAGGGCACCAGAUCUCAUUGCAGAUGGUUGUGAGCAACCACAUGGUUGCUGGGAAUUGAACUCAGGACCUCUGGAAGAGCAAUCAGUGCUCUCAACCUCUGAGCCAUCUCUCCAACCCCGGAGUUGCUAUUUUAAGGGGGAGCAGUUAUUGAAUGCUAGACUGUGAAAGUAAGAAAAUCUCAUGUUGGCAUGUGAAUGUGAAGAAGAAUGGACAGAGAAUUGAAAGUUUGCAUCUUUGCUCAUGGGUUUGGUGUUGUGGAAGCUCCAGCCAUUCCUGUGGGCUCAGACUGAACCAGUCACUGCGUGCAGAACAUCUGCGAUCUACCUGCUCACUCAGAAGGUGGAGGGGGUGGGAGGCACUUUCUGUAUUGCUAAAAGAGGCUUGCCACAACUCAUCUCUUUCCCCACAUCAUCACUGGAUUGCUUGCUCUCUCACUUCCUCAUCUGCACAGGGUUCUCUCUGUAGGAAAACUUGGCUUCCAUGUGUCAAGAUGGCAAAUUGCUGGUACACUUCCUGGUAUGUAUGUAACUUACAAAUAACAGCAGACAACCUUCAAGACAUAUUCAUGACAGGUGACUUUAUGUCUACAUGUUGGGUUUAUUUGUCAGGACAGAUCACACGUGAGCCUUGUCCACAGACUAAGUGCUGCGCAGGCCACAGUGUCAGAGCAGAAGGGGACCAAGGACAGACUGGAUGUGUUUGUCACAACUUCUGUUCUCCAACUCACCACAGAACUACCUACAUGUUUUGGGAACCACUAAAUUAAAUAUUCAUUCAUUUCUUGAGUGUGUAAUAUUCCUUUCCAUGUCUCAAAGAGUUCACAGACUCUAUGGGGCCAACAUGG